rnacentral:lncRNA from 1 species
CACAUGAGGACAGAAAAAUAGAAGAGAUUAUAUGGAUUUCUUCAGAUGAGAAUGAAAAUGAAAAUCAGGAGAUCACUCACCCUCUUGUUUACUCGUCUUUUACACAAUGGGAAGAUCUUGACCCCCCUGUGACCCCGUCUGCUCCAGAUUUAAUAGAAAGUGAUGUGGACCAUGAAUUGUUCGAUUUGGAUCCAGCUAGCACAGAAGACCCAGAGGAGGAACUGAGCGUAAGAGUUUAUAUGCAAGGUCUGAAACUACCUGAGCCUCUCAGAUACACCUUACAGGACCCAGUUAAACACAGUUUAACAAAGAAACUAAAGCUCCCAGACCCGGUGAUAUUCUUCUCAGACCAGGAGUCAGAGCUGCCAAGCCCACCGUCUCCCACAUACAGAGGAUUGUCAGAUGAUUUGGAGACACAAUACACUUCAGAUUCAGAGAACCAGAGAGUCCUUACAGAAACACUGGAGGAUUCUGAGAACCUCAGACCCAAUACACCCACUGGAUCCUUGUCUGACAUUGACCCUGAAAUGGAGCUGGGACGCCGAUUUUCACCUCCUACUAUUGAGGAGGUGGAGCUGCCUCACACACCUGGGGGAUGUCUGGAAAUGGAGGAGACUGAGGAUCAUAUUUUACCUCCAGGACCACCAACACCACUACCACCUCCUCCCUCUCCCACAGGCAUCCAGGAACUUUCCUCCUCACCCAUUUAUCACUGUCCUCCUCUCCCUUCCUCAUACCCCACGUAUGAGGAAAUACCAAAAACACCAGGCCGGGUCAAUGGACCAUGCCACGUUUAUCACUCUGAGGGAAUAACACCAGCGGGAUUACUGCAAGAGACCUCACUGAGAAUGGGAAGCCCCUGUAACCCCGUCCUGUCUCCAUGUGCUGACAGCGGGAUCCCGAGGACUCCAGGGAGAGACAUGUCUCCAUCUCCACCUGUCCGAACCCAUAGAGAGCUGUGGGCUAGUGCACUCCAUCAUCACAACUCAGAGGUGCAAACUAACUAUUUCAGUAUAAAUAGUAGUCAUGCACCUCACGACCGUCAUAUCUCCUCACGUCGAAGAGCUUGUUUAGACACGGCACGCUUGAAAAGGCGGCGAGAGCGGCUUAAAAUGAGAAGACGAAUGAUUGAAUUACAACGGACAAGACAGUACACAAAUAUAAAUACUCAUUCGCCCUUACAAGUGAACAAUGUGACAACAAAAUCUUCUUCAAAUCGGGUUUUGAGGCCUUUGGAUUGUGUCUCGGAUAUUAGGACUGAACAAAAACCACCAGAAGCCCAUCGAGAGAAGUGUUCGGUAGAAGACAAACGCCAACCGAAUGAGAAUCAAAGGCUUCAGGAGUCUUCUUAUGUGUGGAGAAGGUGGAGAGAACCAUCAUCGACACGUCGCCUCAUCUUCUCUCCACGUUCUGAGAGAAGAGAGAAGUUGGUCCUCCAUGCUGUGUGGACUAAAGGGGUGAAUGAGGAGGAGAUCAAUCACCUGAAGGCCACCUAUGAGAGGCUUGUGGUGGAGGAUAAAGAAUGUGAUUGGUUGAACAGCACACGCUGGGUCCCACAUCCUCAUAUCCUUAAACACAUAAUACACGUCA